UUGAGGAUGAUGAAAUGAAAUCAAUAAGACGGAUUCCCAUCGAUUUUUCAUAUGAGAGCAUAAUUAGCUACUUCUGACUCUU
rnacentral:snoRNA from 1 species